rnacentral:misc_RNA from 1 species
GAAAUGCGAUAAGUAAUGUGAAUUGCAGAAUUCAGUGAAUCAUCGAAUCUUUGAACGCACCUUGCGCUCCUUGGUAUUCCGAGGAGCAUGCCUGUUUGAGUGUCAUGAAAUUCUCAACCUUCAAAACUUUUUUGUUGCGAAGGCUUGGACUUGGAGGUCGUGUCGGCGUCGCUGUCGACUCCUCUGAAAUGCAUUAGCGUGAAUCUUACGGAUCGCCUUCGGUGUGAUAAUUUCUGCGCCGCGGCCGUGAAGUAUAAUAGUGUUCGUGCUUACAACUGUCUGCAAAGACAAUUCUUCUUGACAAUCUGACCUCAAAUCAGGUAGGACUACCCGCUGAACUUAA